UUGAACCGAAUCCAGUCUCAGCAAUUCCGCCAGGCGUCUCCAGCAUAUUCCCUCAUGCCAUGGCGGCUCCUACUUAGCGAUUGGCUGAUCUAGCGACUGGAGCGUCAACCGCCGGCGACAUCGCACACCUCACUCUGCCCCAUGUACAACACCAAUGGCGGCACCGGCACUGGCGGAUGCAGUUACAUUUCAGGUACGAUAAUGAGGAACUCCACCCUAUUCAUUUGAUCUUCCGAGUCAUUCUUCUCAGCCCCCUGUUUUUCCCUGUUGCUUGCACAUCGGGAACUCUUUGGCGAGGAGGAUUUGAGUCUGAUUUGAUCCUUUUCGAGGCUGAGACAGUUGAUCGUCGUCCUCACGCCAGCCAAGGUGAUGGACCAGCUGCAGAGCCGCUGCUGCCACACCAAGAGCAGCACCAACUCCCCCACAAGAGCAGCACCAGCGGGGAAGGAUUCUAUCUAUGCAUUUUAGAUUCCACGAUUUCGCUGCUGACCUUUGCCACAUAUGUAAAUUUGCACCUUCGCUCUUUCUACAAUUCAAUUCCUUUUUAUUCUCGUGUGUAGAUCUGGAGAGAUGAUAAACACACUUUCUCAAAGGGCACACAGAUUGUGAGUAAGAAGAUUAAUUAAGCUAGAAGCAUGGUACCUGUUUGAUCACUUCUAUUGAACAUGCUUCCUGUUCAUAUUCCCCUGUCGAUAUACAAUUCGGAUGUAUGUUCUUCUCGCUGUUAAAGCAUGAAACAGCCGCCAUGCCUACUCCUUUUUUUAUUACUUUUCCUAUUCUGUAAUUUAGAUAAUACAAUAUCAUAGCUCAUUUUUUAAUCUAAACAAGUAAGUUCAUAUCAGAUUGCAUACCAUUUUACAGUAAACAUUGUGCAGUUAGUUUAACUGCCAAUUGUCUUAUGAACCAAGCAAUUGAUUAUCAAUCGCUUUAUUCCAUCAGAAUGCAGACACUUGACACGAAUCUGCAGCUAGAAGCGAAGCAUGGGAACCUGUUUGAUCUCUAUGAAUAUACUUCCUUUUCAUACUCCCCUAUUGGUAUACAACGUUUCAGGAUUAUACCUCAUUUUCUAGUUACUUUUUACCAGUGCAUGCAUAUACAUGAUUUUAGUUAGCUUAGCAUAUAUGUGUUUCCUUUCUACUUAGUACUCACUUCACUUGUAAAAAGGGUAUCUCUUAGUUUCUUUGGAAAAGGGUUUUUUGCAGUAAGUGAAUAGUGCACCCUGAUAAAAGUAAUGGACGAUGUUGUCCAUUAAGAAUUCAUAGCAAUGCAUCAGUCCAAUUCACAAUGGUUGCAUGUUCGUAAAAUCAUCCACUAGCUUUUAGUUAACCCCUAUAUUAAAAAAAGGGUGUCAUCAAUUUCUUAGAAAAGAGGUACCUGCCAGUUAGCUAGUUAUUAGGUUUUUUUUCUCAAAAUGCUCCAUACACUAAUUUUCCUGCCUUUUCAAUGUAUGGAAGAAAAUUACUGAUUUUCAAGUGUUGUAAAUGAUCUUGAGAGAAAUUAUGUGAGCUAUCUUGUAACAAACUUUCCAUAAAUAGUUUAUAUUUCUCGUGGUCAGUUUUGUACUUAAUCAAUCAAUUAGUACUUAAUAAUGGUUAUGCUUGCAGAGGGUCCAUUGCCAAUCUGUGUUUGCUUCUUCCCAGGAAUCUAUUAUAAAGGCACUUCUGACCUGAUGCAAGAAUGCAGCGGUCAAGCUGCUGGAACACAGCGCUCGCGACCAGGGUUUGAGCCCCGGCAUGAGCAAGGGAAAAUUUUUAUAAAGGCGCUCCUGAUGUAUGUACUUGAAUACGAUUUUGAUUGUGUCAUUGAGUAGAGCAUACCUCUUUUGUAAUUUUUAUGUAUUAGUUGAAAUCUAGAAGUCCUUACUAACAUUUUUGGUAAGUAAUGUACUGCAUUUUCCUUAUA